CCUACGGGUGGCAGCAGUGAGGAAUAUUGGUCAAUGGACGCAAGUCUGAACCAGCCAGGCCGCGUGCAGGAAGACGGCUCUAGGAGUUGUAAACUGCUUUUGUACGAGGGUAAAUCCCGAUACGUGUAUCGGGUUGAAAGUAUCGUACGAAUAAGGAUCGGCUAACUCCGUGCCAGCAGCCGCGGUAAUACGGAGGAUUCAAGCGUUAUCCGGAUUUAUUGGGUUUAAAGGGUGCGUAGGCGGUUCGAUAAGUUAGAGGUGAAAUCCCGGGGCUCAACUCCGGCACUGCCUCUGAUACUGUCGAGCUAGAGUUUAGUUGCGGUAGGCGGAAUGUCUGGUGUAGCGGUGAAAUGCAUAGAGAUCAUGCAGAACACCGAUUGCGAAGGCAGCUUAC
rnacentral:rRNA from 1 species